GUCAAAUGCUGCUCAGAUGUCAAGUAAAUGAAGUCUGAAAAAUUCCUGUUGAAUUUUGUGAUAGUUUUAAGUGGGCCAUUGGGAAGGGAAACUGGAAUUAUGUGGAAUGCAUGAAAUAGUUUGAACUCUUUAAAAGCUUAGCUCUGAGGCAGUUGAAGAGAGAGGGUCCUCCCAGUCAACUUUGUAGUGUGGAUGUUUUGUUGUGUCUUUAGUGAAAAUGAUCCUGGCAUGAUUAAAAAACACUGGGAAACAUCCAUUUGAAGAGAUUGACAAUGCUAGAGGGAAGGAAUAAUCUAUAGAAAGGGUUCUAGGAAGGCAGAAAAGGAUGGGUUCCCAAAACACAAUUAGGAGACUAACCUGAAAUACGUGUAGGGGUAUUUCUUAUAACUUUAUUAAUAGAGGAUGAGGAUGCAUGUAAAUUUGUAUUUGUGGUAAUAAAAAUGAUGGUUCCCAUCUGAUAUUUAUUUUCUCCAUGAAAUUGAAAAAAAGAGGAAGAAGGUCAAAUGUUUCAGGAAAGCACAUGAAGGUUUAAAAUAUUCGUAGAGUGUAUUGAUUAAGAAAGUACAGUAGAGUUGCUAGGAAGUGUAGAGGCCAGUCAAGGUUAGCCCUGGGGGAUUUAUCGUAGAAUCUCAAGUAUUUCCUGCCUACUGGAGUGCUGUGAGAAAAGACUCAGAAUGUUGCUUUCAUCCAGGAUUAACUAGAGGGAGUUUAAGGUAUUGGCAAGUGUAGAUCAUGUACCCAAACUGGAUAAAAGGAAAAUUAAAAGGCCUAACCAUUUGAGAGAUGGUGAAAGGGGUCAGUGAACUUGGUGGUUUCAGUGAAGUCACAGACCGUUGUGGUGGAUGAAGUUGAAUAAGCAAGCUGAUGGAAGUUGUGAUCUCAUUGUGGAGUAUUUGAAUUAAUGAUUUUAGAAAUGGAGUAGUUAUUAGUGAUGACAAGGGCUACAGUGUGACCAUGGAAUUGUGGGUGGCUGCGAUGGAAACGAUUAGGUCAUUAGAAAAGAGGAAGUCAAGAAGUGAGGAUGUAGUAUCAGAUGGGUUAUUCAAGUAGACAUCUGCCUCACCCAGAAUGAUGGCAAAACUUAGGAUGGAGAGAAAUUGUAAAUUGGUUGCCAAUAUCUUCAGUGGAUAAAGUAUGAGUGAUACUAAUAAGAGAUAAGAGAAGCUGUUAAGGCUAAAUCCAAGAGCCUUGAAGAAACAGGACGAGGUUGAUAAUACUAUUUUGGUGAGAAGAAUUUGAGGGCUUGUGUGUGCCAGGCACUCUUGCAAGACACAGAAAACACUGUGUAAAUACUGCAAGGCCCUGUCCUCUGAGAGGACGUCAGACUGUAGAAGAAGGCAGCCACAUGUGCAGUUAGUGACAGUACAGUGAGAUCCUACCUUCAAAGUAUAGUGGGAACCUCAAGGAAGAACAGGUUAUGUUUAGCUAAAGAAAUCAUUGAAGGUUUCACUGGAGAGAUUAUAUCUGAACUGAAGUUUGUAUAGUUCCUCAAGUGGAGAAGGAGAAGGACAUUACAGGAAGAAUUAUAAGAUGUAUGACUCCUAACAAUGACAGACGAAUAUAAACUCAAAAUGAUAGCAUCCCUUCUCAUAGUAAGCACUAUCGUAAUAUGGAGUUCUUUAUCAUUAUAACAUCUCUAUCUCUUUGGCCAUAGUUCUAUUUUUUUGUUCUAGAGUUCAACAUUGUUCUCUAAUGGGAUGAUUGAAAGCAUGUAUCUGGUGUGUGUAUGUCCUUAUGUUUUUGGUAUUUCUUUUAAACUUAUGCUUGAAAUAAUAUAGUACCAAAGAUAAAUGUGGAGGUGCUCUAUAAAUAAAUAGAAUACAGUUCUUUGACAUAUUUUCUAUUGUUGUUACAAAUACUCCUUCAGGAAAUUAAAUGGCUCCCAUUAUGGGUGAAGUUCUGAUUUAAACCACAAGGACACAAAGAUGAACAUGAUGGUCUCCGACCUCAGGGAACUCAUCGUUUAUUAUGAUCCAGGAACAGGAUGUACUGGUGAUAUCAAUAUACUAACCACAGGGAAUGCUGUGACCUUUUUAAAAAUCACAACUUAUUUCUCUUAAAUCCUCAGACAUGUUUUUAGAAUGUUGAUUCAUUCCUUUGCUGUUUAUGGAAGAGGUUUGAUUUCAUCAAACUGAGUAUAGUUAAACAAAAAUUUGGUUCAAUUGGUAAUCUAUAAUAAGACUCAAAACAAAGUAUGUUUCUUCUUGAAUUAAGAGCCUCCCUAAUUUUGGCUUUAUUCCUCACGGGUUGUGAAGAUGAGAAAAGAAGUGAAGAGAAUCCGAGUUUUUAUCUGAAAACUUGUCAGGAGUGUGAGCAGACUGGAGUCCAAAAAGGGUACUGAAGAUGCACUGUUAAAAAGCCAGAGAUGAGCACGACGAUUGCUUGAAGAAAUCCCUGCCAUGAAGAACUAAGGUAAGCAGUUCAAGAACCCACAGAGCAGUAAAGACAAAGUUGCAUGAUGCUGAGUGGAGAGCCAGAAGCCAGCUGGAGCAAGAGGUGGUCGUGAGGACAAGAAGAGAGGAGGUCGGACUUUCAGCAGGAGGAUCAUCUCCUCACAUAUCUCAUUAAACAGCCAGCCAUCAAGAGGAUGCCUCGGUCAGGAUAUCAUUUAUAGUAAAAAGCAGCCCACAGACAAAGAAGGUGUGAAAUCCUUAGUUCUCCUAUGAAAGUGAAGUCCUUCUCUUUUUCUGGAUCAUCUCCUCACAUAUAUCACUAAACAGCCAGCCAUCAAGAGGAUGCCUCGGUCAGGACGUCAUCUCACUAAGUACUGCAUCUGCAGACUCACUGAGCAACAGCUAGAGUGAAGGGACAGGUCUAUCUACUUCUGUUCAGUUCAUAUUUCUUGGGUAUCUAUGCUUCCUGUGUCCUUAGGGCCCAAGUGUCUUGGGAUAGGAAAGGGAGCUCUUCCCAAGUGUUGACAGGCCAGUUUUCCUGUCUUAACUCUUCUGUGUCUAUUUCCCGUUCCCUUUCACCCUCAGAGUGUAUCUGAGUCUUACCUAUCCAAGGAAGUGAGUAUAAGAGUAGUGGGUCUGAGACUCGGUGGGAAGUGUGUGUGAUCAUACAGGACUGUGCAGAUACAUCGUUCUUGAUUUGGCUUCACACUCUCAUCCGCUACCUUAAAGGGGGUUACCCCGAGAGAGUUGGCCUGCAGCAGGGCCCGUCAGGACUGGAGGCUCUCACGGAUGUUCUGCCACGUCACUUAAGGACUGCAGCGGUAAGAGGUGACAGAUCGUUGCAGGUAAACUCUUUGCUAAGUUGUUUCCGCUUUGGGGUAUUGGUACCUCCCAGCCGAACAGCCUAGAAAAAAGGGAACUUGGCCUCUGGAGCUAUCUUCCUGUCUGUUCCCUUUGCCUACUUUUCACUCUACUUCCCUCAGCCCAGGAAAAUCCUAUUUUAGGCAGAGUGGAAGAAAUGAUGGCUCCCUGACCCCUGUCUCUUCCACGCAUUUUGUCUAUACAUCAUUCCCCAAGCCCUGUAGGCCCACAGACACAGUGCUCAUUGGCUGUUUCUACGUUCUGACCAGGGCAUCCCUUUCCUGAGGCAAUGAGCUCAGUUGUGCCCAUAUACUUGGGAAAGGGGAAAUACCAGCAGAAAAAUGUGCCAAAAUAAUCAUACCAGCCCAUAAACACAGAGUUCUUUAUUUUUGUAGCAACAGAAUUAGAAAAUUAGGUAGGUUCUUAGAUAUUUACAUGAAAGGGUUCCAAAUUUAAGAUACUAUAGUUGUAGUAAUGUUACUCUAGGCCAUUGGUUUGUGCUGCCAGGAAGGAAGGGGAAAGCCCUGGGAGGCUUUUGAGGCAGACAGCAGCAGUGGGUCAGACAUCAAGAGAAAGGGCUAUGGCCCCGCUUGGUUUGAGAGUGCUUGGCAAGAUUCUUAAGAAAUAACAGUGAUUAAAACUGAAAACUUUCAUCUGCUGCCUAACUGUGGACUCUGCCUCCUCUCUCAAAACCUCAAGCCAUUACCUGGAGGUUUUCUCUUCUCUGCCAUUCAGUUUCCAUUCGAUUUCUCUUCUGACUGUGCCUUCUCAGGAUGUCUCCAUCCUCGGUGCCUCUCUCUCUCCUUCCUCGGGGUCACGACCAUCAUGUAUCAUGGUAGCCUGUGGAAUUUCAGGCGGCCUCAUUUUCAGUGAGCAUUUAUCAGCGUGAGGUGUUCAGAGCCCCAUGAUAAGGUUUCAUAUAUCGUAAACCUCAAGGGGCUAGAGAUGGAGGAUGCAUAAUCCAGCACAGCAUGUCCCAAAUGGCCUCUAUAUUAUUGCUGCAGGAGUUUGAGAAGGGCAUGAAGCAGAACUCUCAGCUGCUGAGUCAAAAAGGUAUGCAUUUGUGACACUUGAAUUGCAGCUGUUUUUUGGAACUCCACCUAAAAAUAGCACAAGCUCAAUCUGCAGAAAUUCUGACUGAGUUUCAAGUCAGAAUUCGAAACUGAGUGGAUAUGCCUGAAUCAAGAAAGAUGAGUUAUUCUUAGACUUUUAUAAGCAACUGAGAAGGAAGUCUCUAGCUCAACAACUGUCAGCAAUUAAGUCAAAUAAUAUCUAUCUCCAAGAUACAUGCGUUGAAGAUUAAGCGAGCCUGUAUUGCUGAAAGAACACUGAUUGCCAUUCUGAUACUUGCUGGGAUUAUUCAUCAUUACUGUAUAUUCAAGAUAUAGCAGGUGUCUUCACAUUUUGGUCUGGCUACUAAUUCCAGAGAGAGGUCUUUCCUGACAAACUGAUCACUCUGGUAUUUAAAUCAGAUUCUGAAACCUCAGAAUACCAAAGCACCCAAUUUAAAAUGCUAUUUAAGAUGACUGUCCUAUCUUUUAUGUUGGAUUUUUGAAAAUAAUUCAAUCAGAGAAGUAUUUUGAUGUUGCAAAUACCUACACAUCAGCUCAUCUACUUUAAAAUUAAUCAAAAUAUUAAGGCAUCUUCACAGAAAUUUCUCAUAUUCAUACAACAAGGCAAUAGUUAUUUACUUCCUGGUACUCUAAUAUGUUUUGGUAAAUCUCUACAUGACUUGUAUAAAAGCAAUAAAAGCUAGUUUCAUGGUACUCCAUUGUCAGAAUAAUGAAUGCUUUAAAAAUACGUUGAUACAAAGCCUGUCCAAUUCUUUCCCUUGGGUUCUGAAGAAUGUGCACUUGUGGGUCUUAGAAGGAAGGAAACUUCCUGUACCUUCUUUGGAGCUGGGCUUCUAGCUAGUGGGAGCAGAGAAUGGCUAAACUGUUAAAAGUUUAACAGCCAGCAUCUCUCAGCAUCUCUCAAAGGUACUUAGGGAACUAGUUGCUGAAACUGAGUAGCAUCCAGACAGCACCCCAGAGAGAGUACACUGGAGCUUAUCAUCCCACACGAUUACAUAUUCAAAUCGGUUUGAAUUCCCUGGGCACCCAUGGGGAUGUCAUGUGAGGUAGUAAAGAAGCAUGCUGUGUAGGGUCAGAAGCACUGGAGGAACCUGGUCUAACAUUAAAAAUGUGGUACAGAUAUUUCCCUAAGGUGAAAAAGUCCCACAACCAUGAAAAUUCAGACAUCCAGGAAAGAGCUGUAAAUGUAAAAAUGAGGUUGAAUUUCCAAGUGACAUGUGAUAAUCUUUUUCAGUACGUUAAGAAUUCUACCUUGCCUUUGCAAGGAUUUCUUUUUCUUGAAUGCUUCAUAUACAGCUCUUUAAGAUGCUCCUACUGCAGCCAGGUAAAUUAACACAUACCUACCCUGCCCUCUAGACUAGAAAACCCCAGGUAUUAUGAGUAAAUGUCUGUGACAUUUUGGUUAAUUGGAGCUGGUGUUGGGGGAACUUUUGAGCAUUAGUGGCUACAGGCAUAACCUUUGCUUAUUUUCACUAAUGUGGUUUGAGAGGGUUCAGGGUUGUGUUGGAAAGUGUGGGCAGCGGCAGGGGAAUUUGGAAAACACAUGAAGUUUACUAGCUUUGUAUGUUUGUGACCUUUCAAUGGUGAAAUAUAAGAACUUUGCAAAAUCAUGUUUCAGUGAUACAAUAAAUAGAAUAUCAGCAUAUAGGUGAUAAAGAAUACAAUCUGUUUGUAACACAUUGUAGGGUUAAAACUCCUUAUCAGGUUUGCUGCUGUUUCACCUGGGAAUAUCCAAGCAAACCCAACUGAGAUGUGCAUGGGAGGAUAAACCACAGGAGGAGGGAGCUGGAUUAGAAGGAGGUGGGACCUGGAGAAUCAAAUGGAGGCGAGGAAUUUGGACUCAGCCCAGAGAGAUCUAGAAGGUACAACAGACUGCAGGUGAUGGACUGCAAUAGGCAGUCUCAUUGUUAUGGAAAAUACUGGAAAACCUGGACUGGAUCGCUGAUGGAAGAACCAAGCGGCACUCGAAGGUCUUGGAGUGUUGAGGUUUUAUUUCACACCGGUGGGCUCAGAGAGGAGUAACCUCCCAAGGCCUGAUUCCUGAGCACAAGCAAAGGGAGUAAUUUAUAUUAUUUUUAUAUGUGGCAUUUUGGCAUGCGCAGGGCAAAGCAGGAGCCUGGAGGAAGGGAGGAGGGAGCUGGGGGGCUCUGCCAACCAGGGGCAAAAGCGGUUUGCUGACCUUGACGGCUGUGUUGAGUGUUUUCCUUACCAUCAGGAGAACCAUCUCCUCAGUUGCUGUGAGAUGCUGGCGCUGCCCCACAGAAACAUCUCAUUAAAAAUUUUCUAGUUAUCUACAUUCUAAAAAAAUAAAAAGAAACAGGUAAAAUAAGUUUUAUUUUAUAUUUUAAAAUUCUGAAAUUAUAUUGAACCCAGUAUAUCCAAAAUAUUAUCCUGUCAAAAAUGUACCCAUAACGCCCAGCAGCCACACGUGACUACAGACAGCACUGAGAUCAGUGGGUCUGUCACCACUUGGGUGUCUUCCAGGCCAGAGGAAGGCUCGACUCAUGAGGACUGAUGGAGACCGGUAUGUUAGCUGGUGAUUCACAAAAGAGAAUUAUAUAUGUUAGAAAUCCAUUAGAAAACUGCUACCUCAUUUGUAAUCAAAGUUAUAAAAAAUUAAAAUAUGAGUAAGAUGCUAUUUCUCACCUGUCAAAAGGGCCACUUUUAAAAAGUAGCAGCUGGUUGGAGAUGUGCUAAAAUUCAUAUAUUGCUGUAAGUGUAAAUUGGUAUAACUCAUUUGGAAAGCAGUUUUACAUUUCAUGUUAAGAGCUUUGAAUUGUUUUUUCCAACUUCUAAGACUCUAUAAUGGAAAACAAUAAAAACAAUUAUUGAGUUUUAUUAUAUAACAGCAUACUUAGCACUUCAUAUGUUUUAAGUCUUUUAGUCUUUACAACUCUAUGAACUAGUUAUUAUCCAAUUUUAAUCCUAUAAAAAUAACCCAAAAUUUGGGAAAAAUUAUGUGUCUAUGUUAUUAUAGUAUUGUUAAAAGAAGAAAAAAUACAAACAAAAAACUAGGAAAAAACCUAAAUGUCUCAAAUCAAGGAAUGGUUUCUUAAGUGAAACUACUCAAUGGAAUUGAUGUAUUUACUAAAGUGUUCUUUAAGAAUAUACAAUGCCAUGGAAAAAAUGCAUGUGUUAGUCUGCUGUCAUUCAACAAAGCUGCAUAACAAACAGGUACUAAAUCUGGGUGGCAUACAACAGUAAGCAUUUAUUUCUCAUGCACAUAUUUGCAGGUCAGUUGGGGUAUGGCUCGGCUCUUGGCUCCAGGUAAGCUGACUUUGGUUUUAGCUUCAUUUAUGAUGCACUGUAUUCAUUUUGGAGCCCAGGUUGAAGGGGCAUCUGCUAUCAGGGGGAAGCUCUUCUCAUGGCAGAUUCCUGGAGUGAAAGACAGCAAGAGAGCAAGAAGGCAUGAGUGACUGCACAGCACAUCUAAGUAUCUACUUGCUUCAUGUCUACUAACUUAUUGGUCAAAGGAAGCCAUACGGUGAAGUCUAAAGUUGAGGAGUUGGGAGCUAUCCUCUGCCUGCCACGAGAAUGUGCAAGAAUGUGUAUGUAUAAUUCUAUUACAAGAGAAUAAAGAUUUGGAACCAAUAA